UCUUGGUCAUUUAGAGGAAGUAAAAGUCGUAACAAGGUUUCCGUAGGUGAACCUGCGGAAGGAUCAUUCAUAAUAAGUGUUUUAUGGCACUUUUUAAAUCCAUAUCCACCUUGUGUGCAAUGUCAGUUGUUCUCUUUUUUGAGAAUGACCAAACAUCAACUUAUUCUUUAACUCUUUGUCUGAAAAAUAUUAUGAAUAAAAUAAUUCAAAAUACAACUUUCAACAACGGAUCUCUUGGCUCUCGCAUCGAUGAAGAACGCAGCGAAAUGCGAUACGUAAUGUGAAUUGCAGAAUUCAGUGAAUCAUCGAAUCUUUGAACGCAUAUUGCGCUCUUUGGUAUUCCGAAGAGCAUGCUUGUUUGAGUAUCAGUAAACACCUCAAAGACUUUCAAUUCGUUUUGAAUGGCUUUGGACUUGAGCAAUCCCAACACCAGUCUUUACGAUCGGUGGAGGGUUGCUUGAAAUGCAGGUGCAGCUGGACAUUCUCCUGAGCUAAAAGCAUAUUUAUUUAGUCCCGUCAAACGGAUUAUUACUUUUGCUGCAGCUAACAUAAAGGGAGUUUGACCGUAUUGGCUGACUGAUGCAGGAUUUCACAAGGGUCGGCAACGAUUCUUGUAAAACUCGAUCUCAAAUCAAGUAAGACUACCCGCUGAACUUAAGCAUAUCAAUAAGCGGAGGA
rnacentral:rRNA from 1 species